CUACAACCAAACAUCAAGCUGUUGGAUCAUUUUGAAUCCAUAUAAAAGGAGAAAACCAGAUUGUUCAUCUCUAUGCAAGACUGAGAAUAAAUAUGCAGUGGAAUCUGUUUCUUCUUACUGUGAUGGCUCAGAAUUAUCUGAUGGACUGUCAGCUCUAUGAGUUUCACUACAUUAAAGAGGAAAAGAACUGGACUGAAGCUCAGCAGUACUGCAGAGAGAAUCACACUGACCUGGCCACAGCGACUAACAUGAAGGA